AGCUCCAAUAGCGUAUAUUAAAGUUGUUGUGGUUAAAAAGCUCGUAGUUGGAUCUCGGCGGUCUGAGGUCGGUUCGCUUUAUUGAGUGCUACUGCUCUAUCUUCCGUUUUUUUGCCAGAGGGCUCGGUGUGCUCUUAACCGAGUGUCCUGCGAUGCUGGCAGGUUUACUUUGAAAAAAUUAGAGUGAUCAAAGCAGGCUUUUACGCCUGAAUAUUCGUGCAUGGAAUAAUAGAAUAGGAAGUCGUUUAUAUUUUGUUGGUUUUCGGAAAUCAACGUAAUGAUUAAUAGGGACAGUCGGGGGCAUUUGUAUUCAAACGACAGAGGUGAAAUUCUUGGACAGUUUGAAGACAAACUGCUGCGAAAGCAUUUGCCAAGAAUGUUUUCA
rnacentral:rRNA from 1 species